GGUGAACGCUGGCGGCGUGCCUAACACAUGCAAGUCGAGCGGUACAGUUUGAAGCUUCGGUGGAGAGCUGUAUAGCGGCGGACGGGUGAGUAAAAGCGUAGGAACGUGCCCCUCGGAGUUGGAUAGCCAUGGGAAACUGUGGGUAAACCGACAUAGACUCGGGAGAGUAAAGGCCGAAAGGCGCCGAGGGAGCGGUCUGCGUCCCAUCAGGUAGUUGGUAGGGUAAAGGCCUACCAAGCCGACGACGGGUAACCGGUCUGAGAGGAUGGCCGGUCACAAGGGCACUGAGAGACGGGCCCUACUCCUACGGGAGGCAGCAGUGGGGAUUUUGGACAAUGGGCGAAAGCCUGAUCCAGCGACGCCGCGUGAACGAUGAAUCCCUUCGGGGUGUAAAGUUCUUUUAUAUGUGAGCAGUGCUUCUUAUAUUAACAGUAUGGGGAGAGAGAUAUUAGCAUAUGAAUAAGCAACGGCUAACUCCGUG
rnacentral:rRNA from 1 species